rnacentral:rRNA from 1 species
GAUGAACGCUGGCGGCGUGCCUAAUACAUGCAAGUCGAGCGAACGGACGAGAAGCUUGCUUUUCUGAUGUUAGCGGCGGACGGGUGAGUAACACGUGGAUAACCUACCUAUAAGACUGGGAUAACUUCGGGAAUCCGGAGCUAAUACCGGAUAAUAUUUUGAACCGCAUGGUUCAAAAGUGAAAGACGGUCUUGCUGUCACUUAUAGAUGGAUCCGCGCUGCAUUAGCUAGUUGGUAAGGUAACGGCUUACCAAGGCAACGAUGCAUAGCCGACCUGAGAGGGUGAUCGGCCACACUGGAACUGAGACACGGUCCAGACUCCUACGGGAGGCAGCAGUAGGGAAUCUUCCGCAAUGGGCGAAAGCCUGACGGAGCAACGCCGCGUGAGUGAUGAAGGUCUUCGGAUCGUAAAACUCUGUUAUUAGGGAAGAACAUAUGUGUAAGUAACUGUGCACAUCUUGACGGUACCUAAUCAGAAAGCCACGGCUAACUACGUG